UACGGAGGGUGCAAGCGUUAUCCGGAUUUACUGGGUUUAAAGGGUGCGUAGGUGGGUAAGUAAGUCAGUGGUGAAAUCUUCGAGCUUAACUCGGAAACUGCCAUUGAUACUAUUUAUCUUGAAUACUUUGGAGGUAAGCGGAAUAUGUCAUGUAGCGGUGAAAUGCUUAGAUAUGACAUAGAACACCAAUUGCGAAGGCAGCUUACUACACAGUUAUUGACACUGAGGCGCGAAAGCGUGGGGAUCAAACAGG
rnacentral:rRNA from 1 species